AUGCACGCUGGCGGCGUGCCUAAUACAUGCAAGUCGAGCGAACAGAUGAGGAGCUUGCUCCUCUGACGUUAGCGGCGGACGGGUGAGUAACACGUGGAUAACCUACCUAUAAGACUGGGAUAACUUCGGGAAACCGGAGCUAAUACCGGAUAAUAUAUUGAACCGCAUGGUUCAAUAGUGAAAGACGGUUUUGCUGUCACUUAUAGCUGGAUCCGCGCCGCAUUAGCUAGUUGGUAAGGUAACGGCUUACCAAGGCGACGAUGCGUAGCCGACCUGAGAGGGUGAUCGGCCACACUGGAACUGAGACACGGUCCAGACUCCUACGGGAGGCAGCAGUAGGGAAUCUUCCGCAAUGGGCGAAAGCCUGACGGAGCAACGCCGCGUGAGUGAUGAAGGUCUUCGGAUCGUAAAACUCUGUUAUUAGGGAAGAACAAAUGUGUAAGUAACUAUGCACGUCUUGACGGUACCUAAUCAGAAAGCCACGGCUAACUACGUG
rnacentral:rRNA from 1 species